GGUUGGACUGCCUCUGCUGCAGCUUUGAUGGUCACCCAUAAGACAUCUUUCGAUGUAAAUUGGAAUCCAUCAGU